rnacentral:rRNA from 1 species
UACAGAGGGUGCGAGCGUUGUCCGGAAUCACUGGGCGUAAAGGGCGCGUAGGCGGCUUGAUAAGCGUGCGGUGAAAGCCCGGGGCUCAACCCCGGGUCGGCCGUGCGAACUGUCGAGCUGGAGCACUGUAGAGGCAGGUGGAAUUCCGGGUGUAGCGGUGGAAUGCGUAGAGAUCCGGAAGAACACCGGUGGCGAAGGCGGCCUGCUGGGCAGUGGCUGACGCUGAGGCGCGACAGCGUGGGGAGCGAACAGG